rnacentral:rRNA from 1 species
UACGGGGGGGGCAAGCGUUGUUCGGAAUUACUGGGCGUAAAGGGUUUGUAGGUGGCCCGCUAAGUCACACGUGAAAUCCCUCAGCUUAACUGGGGAACUGCGUGUGAGACUGGCAGGCUCGAGGGCAGGAGAGGAACGCGAAAUUCCAGGUGUAGCGGUGAAAUGCGUAGAUAUCUGGAGGAACACCGGUGGCGAAGGCGGCGUUCUGGACUGUCUCUGACACUGAAGAACGAAAGCCAGGGGAGCAAACGGG